rnacentral:rRNA from 1 species
UGGCGGACGGGUGAGUAAUGCCUAGGAAUCUGCCUGGUAGUGGGGGAUAACGUUCGGAAACGGACGCUAAUACCGCAUACGUCCUACGGGAGAAAGCAGGGGACCUUCGGGCCUUGCGCUAUCAGAUGAGCCUAGGUCGGAUUAGCUAGUUGGUGAGGUAAUGGCUCACCAAGGCGACGAUCCGUAACUGGUCUGAGAGGAUGAUCAGUCACACUGGAAAUGAGACACGGUCCAGACUCCUACGGGAGGCAGCAGUGGGGAAUAUUGGACAAUGGGCGAAAGCCUGAUCCAGCCAUGCCGCGUGUGUGAAGAAGGUCUUCGGAUUGUAAAGCACUUUAAGUUGGGAGGAAGGGUUGUAGAUUAAUACUCUGCAAUUUG